GAUGAAGAACGUAGCGAAAUGCGAUAAGUAAUGUGAAUUGCAGAAUUCAGUGAAUCAUCGAAUCUUUGAACGCACAUUGCGCCCGCCAGUAUUCUGGCGGGCAUGCCUGUCUGAGCGUCAUUUCAACCCUCAUGCCCCUAGGGCGUGGUGUUGGGGAUCGGCCAAAGCCCGCGAGGGACGGCCGGCCCCUAAAUCUAGUGGCGGACCCGUCGUGGCCUCCUCUGCGAAGUAGUGAUAUUCCGCAUCGGAGAGCGAUGAGCCCCUGCCGUUAAACCCCCAACUUUCCAAGGUUGACCUCAGAUCAGGUAGGAAUACCCGCUGAACUUAAGCAUAUCAAAAAGCGGAGGA
rnacentral:misc_RNA from 1 species